UGUUGAUGGAGACUGCAUUUGUGAUUGUCUGCUGCCCCCUAGGGGAUUAAAAAUGGUAUGACAGCCAAAUGGAUUGACUACUAGAACACAUGCAAAUCCACAUGAACCAAUGAGAGGGACAAGCUCCGAGGGCCAAUGGAAAGACAGCUCCGUUAAGGGCUCAAAAUCAAAUUUAUCACCAAUGAUUAGAAAAAGAAAAGGGUGGAAUAUAUCACAUGAUAUAACCUCAUGCAAGGGGAGAGGAAAAAAAAGUAUUUUUGUCUGCUAACUUUUGACUGAAAACUUUGCUGCCAUUUUUGGGGACACAAUCACUAUAAGCAAAACCUAGGACUAAUUUCUUGAUCUAAGUGCAAUACCUUUCUUCAUAUGACCUGAAUCUAUUUGGAAACGCUGGAACAUUUGAUUUGAGUGUCCUGAAGCAUUCAUUGGAGUGCCCUGUUUAAAUCCAAUGAGUAGCCAGUGCCAGCAUGAUGGUGACUGCAACUAUAAUGAGAAGUGCUGCUACAGCGAUUGCACUAAGUUAUGCCUGAGAGUUUCAGAAGGGUCUCAGCCAUAUCGCUUUUAUAGUCCUAAGGAUCCGAUAUUUUAUCGUCGCUAGUACCAACACACCCUCAAGCAAUGCCAAUCGCAUCAGAUUACCAUGUGUAUGAACU